rnacentral:tRNA from 1 species
GCUCAAUCAGUUAAGUGUCUGACUCUUGAUCUCAACUCAGGUCUUGAUCUGAGUUGUGGGUCCAAACCCCACAUUGAGUG